AGAGUUUGAUCCUGGCUCAGAACGAACGCUGGCGGCAGGCCUAACACAUGCAAGUCGAGCGAGACCUUCGGGUCUAGCGGCGGACGGGUUAGUAACGCGUGGGAACGUACCCUUUUCUACGGAAUAGCCUUUGGAAACGAAGAGUAAUACCGUAUACGCCCUUCGGGGGAAAGAUUUAUCGGAGAAGGAUCGGCCCGCGUUAGAUUAGAUAGUUGGUGGGGUAAUGGCCUACCAAGUCUACGAUCUAUAGCUGGUUUUAGAGGAUGAUCAGCAACACUGGGACUGAGACACGGCCCAGACUCCUACGGGAGGCAGCAGUGGGGAAUCUUAGACAAUGGGCGCAAGCCUGAUCUAGCCAUGCCGCGUGAGUGAAGAAGGCCUUAGGGUCGUAAAGCUCUUUCGCCAGGGAUGAUAAUGACAGUACCUGGUAAAGAAACCCCGGCUAACUCCGUGCCAGCAGCCGCGGUAAUACGGAGGGGGUUAGCGUUGUUCGGAAUUACUGGGCGUAAAGCGCACGUAGGCGGAUUAGAAAGUUAGAGGUGAAAUCCCAGGGCUCAACCCUGGAACUGCCUUUAAAACUCCUAGUCUUGAGUUCGAGAGAGGUGAGUGGAAUUCCAAGUGUAGAGGUGAAAUUCGUAGAUAUUUGGAGGAACACCAGUGGCGAAGGCGGCUCACUGGCUCGAUACUGACGCUGAGGUGCGAAAGUGUGGGGAGCAAACAGGAUUAGAUACCCUGGUAGUCCACACCGUAAACGAUGAAUGCCAGUCGUCGGGUAGUAU
rnacentral:rRNA from 1 species